rnacentral:rRNA from 1 species
CACUCCUACGGGAGGCAGCAGUGGGGAAUUUUGGACAAUGGGCGAAAGCCUGAUCCAGCAAUGCCGCGUGAGUGAAGAAGGCCUUCGGGUUGUAAAGCUCUUUUGUCAGGGAAGAAACGGUGAAAGCUAAUAUCUUUUGCUAAUGACGGUACCUGAAGAAUAAGCACCGGCUAACUACGUGCCAGCAGCCGUGGUAAUACGUAGGGUGCAAGCGUUAAUCGGAAUUACUGGGCGUAAAGCGUGCGCAGGCGGUUUUGUAAGUCUGAUGUGAAAUCCCCGGGCUCAACCUGGGAAUUGCAUUGGAGACUGCAAGGCUAGAAUCUGGCAGAGGGGGGUAGAAUUCCACGUGUAGCAGUGAAAUGCGUAGAUAUGUGGAGGAACACCGAUGGCGAAGGCAGCCCCCUGGGUCAAGAUUGACGCUCAUGCACGAAAGCGUGGGGAGCAAACAGGAUUAGAUACCCUAGUAGUCCCA